CCACCCACCUCGAUAUUGGGCCUCCGGUCGAGUUGUAUUUGUAGAGGAUGUUUCGGGUGAGGUACCGUUCUAAGUCUCUUGGAACAGGGCGUCAUAGAGGGUGAGAAUCCCGUAUGUGACCGGUGUCCGAGUCCAUGGGAAACUCCUUCGACGAGUGGAGUUGUUUGGGGAGGCCACUCAAAAUGGGUGGUAAAUUUCAUCUAAAGCUAAAUACUGGCCAGAGACCGAUAGCGCGCAAGUAGAGUGAUCGAAAGAUGAAAAGCACUUUGGAAAGAGAGUUGAAAAGUACGUGAAAUUGUUGAAAGGGAAGCGCUUGCAGCCAGACUCGCCUGGGGAUGAUCAACCGUCUUUCGGGGCGGUGCACUCUCCUCCAGUCGGGCCAGCAUCGGUUCGGGCGGCCGGACAAAGGCCUCGGGAAUGUGGCUCCUCACGGGGAGUGUUAUAGCCCGGGGCAGAAUACGGUCAGUCUGGAUCGAGGACCGCGCUUAUUGCUAGGAUGCUGGCGUAAUGGCUGCCAGCGACCCGUCUUGAAACACGGACCAAGGAGUCGAUCAUCCACGCGAGCGUUUGGGUGUAAAACCCGUGCGCGUAAUGAAAGUGAACGGAGGUGAGAACCCGCAAGGGCGCAUCAUCGACCGAUCCUGAUGUCUUCGGAUGGAUUUGAGUAUGAGUGCGGAUGAUCGGACCCGAAAGAUGGUGAACUAUGCGUGAAUAGGGUGAAGCCAGAGGAAACUCUGGUGGAGGCUCGCAGCGGUUCUGACGUGCAAAUCGAUCGUCAAAUUUGCGCAUAGGGGCGAAAGACUAAUCGAACCAUCUAGUAGCUGGUUCCUGCCGAAGUUUCCCUCAGGAUAGCAGUAACGUUUUCAGUUUUAUGAGGUAAAGCGAACAAUUAGAGGUCCGGGUAGCGAAAUGCCCUCCGCCUAUUCUUGAACUUUAAAUAUGUAAGAAGUCCUUGUUGCUUAGUGAACGUGGACAUUGAAUGCACCCGUUUCCUGGGCA
rnacentral:rRNA from 1 species